rnacentral:rRNA from 1 species
UUCAACAGGGGUGAAAUCUGUAUACACCAUGAAUUUUUUGAUUAAAGUACCUUUUAGGUGGUCAAAUGACUAGGAUUAGAUACCCUAUUAGUCCACUCUUAAUUAACCUGGGUAGUAGUAUCGAAACCUAAAGAAUUUGGCGGUUUCUAAACCUACUAGAGGAACCUGCCCCAUAAACGACAAUCCACGAAAAAAUUCACCCGGGCUAGUUAUGCAGCUCAUAUACCGUCGUUCAGAGGACUAAAUAAAUAGAUCCUCUUAAAAGCUUAGGCUAAUAAAUCAGAUCAAGGUGUAGCUUAUGCCCGGGAGAGGGUGGGUUACAAUGAAAAUUCAUACGGAAUUUCUAUUUUAUGAUAGAAAAGAAGGUGGAUUUAGAAGUAAGACUUAAUAUACUGAAAAAGGCUCUCAGAAAUGUACAC